UGCUGGGUGGCAGCUGUAGUGCAUUGUAGUUGCAUUGCAUGUUCUAGCAGUAUUUGUGCAAUGUUUCCGCAGUGCAAUACAGAGGCAUACCGUAUCUCUCC
ensembl:miRNA aca-mir-33-1 aca-mir-33-1